AACGCACAUUGCGCCUCUAGGUAUUCCUGGAGGCACGCCUGUUCGAGCGCCAUUACACACUCCAAGCUCUGCUUGAUGUUGGACGGCCCGAGAGAUCGGACGUCUGGAACGUGUGGGCGUCGGGCGUCGGACCACGAGCGUAGCAAGACCUUGCAGUCAAGUCGUUCUGUGGAGCCGGCGGUCGACCGCCUCUCUAUAAACUUAAUUCACAAGUUUGGCCUCGGAUCAGGCGGGGAUACCCGCUGAACUUAA
rnacentral:misc_RNA from 3 species